UUGGCAUAGCCCUUUGCACCCAUUGUUUGGCAAUCCUGAGAGAUCAGCCAUACCGGCCCAGGAAGGGUCUAGAACUGGUACAGCAGGAGGGCUCCUGGGCCACUGGGCUCAUGAUGAGGAGGAAGGUGGCCCAGUUCCUGCCUACACCAUGCCUGGCUACGCCGAGCGAUACUGGGACAUCUCAGAAAUAGCUUCCCACCAAGUUUUUAGGAAGAAGAAGAACUAGGACAGGAUUCUGUGGAUCAUUCAGGUCCUCCUAACUCCCUCUUCCUCCAGACCCCACUCACGGUAACCUUGAGAGACCUGGCUUUCAGAAGAAUUGAAGGCAAAAGCCUGGAUCCCGAAGUCCCAGAUUAUAUCUACUAUUAGCAAUUUGGAAUACAUGCACUGAAAUGCAAUGAGAAAAGUGCCUCGAAUACAAACUCAUCUGCUAGACUACAAAUUGAAAAUCUGAUACCUUAUCAACUCAUUCAAG